GUGCUUGCUUCAGUAGCACAUAUAAUAAAAUUGGAAUGAUACAGAGAAGAUUAGCAUGGCCCCUGUGCAAGGAUGACAUGCAAAUUCAUGAAGGGUUCUAUAGUUUC